rnacentral:tRNA from 1 species
UAUGAGCAAGUGCGAAUUUUCGGCGAAUGUCGUCUUCACAGUAUAACCAGAUUGCUUGGGGUUAUAUGGUCAAGU